rnacentral:rRNA from 1 species
UAGCAAGCUGUACUUGUACAGCGAAGUGGCUGAUACCAUGCUUCCAGGAAAAGUCUCUAAGCUUCAGUUACACAGGAAUCGUACCCGAAACCGACACAGGUGGUCAGGUCGAGUAGACCAAGGCGCUUGAGAGAACUCUGCUGAAGGAACUAGGCAAAAUGGUACCGUAACUUCGGGAGAAGGUACGCUGUUGUUGGUGAUGGAACUUGCUUCCUGAGCUGAUGACAGCCGCAGAAACCAGGCCGCUGCAACUGUUUAUUAAAAACAUAGCACUCUGCAAACACGAAAGUGGACGUAUAGGGUGUGAUGCCUGCCCGGUGCUGGAAGGUUAAUUGAUGGGGUUAGCGUAAGCGAAGCUCUUGAUCGAAGCCCCAGUAAACGGCGGCCGUAACUAUAACGGUCCUAAGGUAGCGAAAUUCCUUGUCGGGUAAGUUCCGACCUGCACGAAUGGCAUAAUGAUGGCGGCGCUGUCUCCAGCAGAGGCUCAGUGAAAUCGAAAUCGCUGUGAAGAUGCAGUGUACCCGCGGCUAGACGGAAAGACCCCGUGAACCUUUACUGCAGCUUGACACUGAACUUUGACCUUACUUGUGUAGGAUAGGUGGGAGGCUUUGAAGUUGGAACGCUAGUUCCAAUGGAGCCGUCCUUGAAAUACCACCCUGGUAAUGUUGAGGUUCUAACUCUGUCCCGUUAUCCGGGACGAGGACCGUGUCUGGUGGGUAGUUUGACUGGGGCGGUCUCCUCCUAAAGAGUAACGGAGGAGUACGAAGGUGCGCUCAGCGUGGUCGGAAAUCACGCGUAGAGUAUAAAGGCAAAAGCGCGCUUAACUGCGAGACCCACAAGUCGAGCAGGUACGAAAGUAGGUCUUAGUGAUCCGGUGGUUCUGUAUGGAAGGGCCAUCGCUCAACGGAUAAAAGGUACUCUGGGGAUAACAGGCUGAUACCGCCCAAGAGUUCAUAUCGACGGCGGUGUUUGGCACCUCGAUGUCGGCUCAUCUCAUCCUGGGGCUGAAGCAGGUCCCAAGGGUAUGGCUGUUCGCCAUUUAAAGAGGUACGCGAGCUGGGUUUAGAACGUCGUGAGACAGUUCGGUCCCUAUCUACCGUGGGCGCUGGAAAUUUGAGAGGAUCUGCUCCUAGUACGAGAGGACCAGAGUGGACGAACCUCUGGUGUACCGGUUGUGACGCCAGUCGCAUCGCCGGGUAGCUAUGUUCGGAAGGGAUAACCGCUGAAAGCAUCUAAGCGGGAAGCCUACCUCAAGAUAAGAUUUCCCUAGGAAUUUAUUCCUCUAAAGAGCCGUUCGAGACUAGGACGUUGAUAGGUUGGAUGUGGAAGCAUAGUGAUAUGUGAAGCUGACCAAUACUAAUUGCUCGUGAGGCUUGACU